AGAGUUUGAUCAUGGCUCAGAUUGAACGCUGGCGGGAUGCUUUACACAUGCAAGUCGGACGGCAGCACGGGGCUUCGGCCUGGUGGCGAGUGGCGAACGGGUGAGUAAUGUAUCGGAACGUGCCCGGUAGCGGGGGAUAACUACGCGAAAGCGUGGCUAAUACCGCAUACGCCCUACGGGGGAAAGCGGGGGACCUUCGGGCCUCGCACUAUUGGAGCGGCCGAUAUCGGAUUAGCUAGUUGGUGGGGUAACGGCCUACCAAGGCGACGAUCCGUAGCUGGUUUGAGAGGACGACCAGUCACACUGGGACUGAGACACGGCCCAGACUCCUACGGGAGGCAGCAGUGGGGAAUUUUGGACAAUGGGGGCAACCCUGAUCCAGCCAUCCCGCGUGUGCGAUGAAGGCCUUCGGGUUGUAAAGCACUUUUGGCAGGAAAGAAACGGCACGGGCUAAUAUCCUGUGCAACUGACGGUACCUGCAGAAUAAGCACCGGCUAACUACGUGCCAGCAGCCGCGGUAAUACGUAGGGUGCAAGCGUUAAUCGGAAUUACUGGGCGUAAAGCGUGCGCAGGCGGUUCGGAAAGAAAGAUGUGAAAUCCCAGGGCUUAACCUUGGAACUGCAUUUUUAACUACCGAGCUAGAGUGUGUCAGAGGGAGGUGGAAUUCCGCGUGUAGCAGUGAAAUGCGUAGAUAUGCGGAGGAACACCGAUGGCGAAGGCAGCCUCCUGGGAUAACACUGACGCUCAUGCACGAAAGUGUGGGGAGCAAACAGGAUUAGAUACCCUGGUAGUCCACGCCCUAAACGAUGUCAACUAGCUGUUGGGGCCUUCGGGCCUUGGUAGCGCAGCUAACGCGUGAAGUUGACCGCCUGGGGAGUACGGUCGCAAGAUUAAAACUCAAAGGAAUUGACGGA
rnacentral:rRNA from 1 species